CCUACGGGAGGCAGCAGUGAGGAAUAUUGGUCAAUGGACGAGAGUCUGAACCAGCCAAGUAGCGUGAAGGAUGACUGCCCUAUGGGUUGUAAACUUCUUUUAUAUGGGAAUAAAACGUUCCACGUGUGGGAUUUUGUAUGUACCAUAUGAAUAAGGAUCGGCUAACUCCGUGCCAGCAGCCGCGGUAAUACGGAGGAUCCGAGCGUUAUCCGGAUUUAUUGGGUUUAAAGGGAGCGUAGGUGGAUUGUUAAGUCAGUUGUGAAAGUUUGCGGCUCAACCGUAAAAUUGCAGUUGAAACUGGCAGUCUUGAGUACAGUAGAGGUGGGCGGAAUUCGUGGUGUAGCGGUGAAAUACUUAGAUAUCACGAAGAACUCCGAUUGCGAAGGCAGUUCACUGGACUGCAACUGACACUGAGGCUCGAAAGUGUGGGUAUCAAACAGGAUUAGAUACCCGUGUAGUC
rnacentral:rRNA from 1 species